AUUGAACGCUGGCGGCAUGCCUAACACAUGCAAGUCGAACGGAGAUAGGGGCAACCUUAUUUCAGUGGCGGACGGGUGAGGAAUGCGUCGGAAUCUGCCCUAUGGUGGGGGAUAACACAGGGAAACUUGUGCUAAUACCGCAUAAUGUCGAGAGACCAAAGCAGGGGACCGCAAGGCCUUGCGCGAUAGGAUGAGCCGACGCCCGAUUAGCUUGUUGGUAGGGUAAUGGCCUACCAAGGCGACGAUCGGUAGCUGGUCUGAGAGGAUGAUCAGCCACACUGGGACUGAGACACGGCCCAGACUCCUACGGGAGGCAGCAGUGGGGAAUAUUGGACAAUGGGCGCAAGCCUGAUCCAGCCAUGCCGCGUGAGUGAAGAAGGCCUCGG
rnacentral:rRNA from 1 species